rnacentral:rRNA from 1 species
CCUACGGGAGGCUGCAGUGGGGAAUAUUGGACAAUGGGGGCAACCCUGAUCCAGCCAUGCCGCGUGUGUGAAGAAGGCCCUCGGGUUGUAAAGCACUUUCAGUGAGGAAGAACGCCUGGUGGUUAAUACCCAUCAGGAAAGACAUCACUCACAGAAGAAGCACCGGCUAACUCCGUGCCAGCAGCCGCGGUAAUACGGAGGGUGCGAGCGUUAAUCGGAAUUACUGGGCGUAAAGCGCGCGUAGGUGGCUUGAUAAGCCGGUUGUGAAAGCCCCGGGCUCAACCUGGGAACGGCAUCCGGAACUGUCAAGCUAGAGUGCAGGAGAGGAAGGUAGAAUUCCCGGUGUAGCGGUGAAAUGCGUAGAGAUCGGGAGGAAUACCAGUGGCGAAGGCGGCCUUCUGGACUGACACUGACACUGAGGUGCGAAAGCGUGGGUAGCAAACAGGAUUAGAUACCCCGAGUAGUC